rnacentral:rRNA from 1 species
GAUGAACGCUGGCGGCGUGCCUAAUACAUGCAAGUCGAGCGAACAGACGAGGAGCUUGUUCCUCUGACGUUAGCGGCGGACGGGUGAGUAGCACGUGGAUAACCUACCUAUAAGACUGGGAUAAUUUCGGGAAACCGGAGCUAAUACCGGAUAAUAUAUUGAACCGCAUGGUUCAAUAGUGAAAGACGGUUUUGCUGUCAAUUAUAGAUGGAUCCGCGCCGCAUUAGCUAGUUGGUAAGGUAACGGCUUACCAAGGCAACGAUGCGUAGCCGACCUGAGAGGGUGAUCGGCCACACUGGAACUGAGACACGGUCCAGACUCCUACGGGAGGCAGCAGUAGGGAAUCUUCCGCAAUGGGCGAAAGCCUGACGGAGCAACGCCGCGUGAGUGAUGAAGGUCUUCGGAUCGUAAAACUCUGUUAUUAGGGAAGAACAAAUGUGUAAGUAACUAUGCACGUCUUGACGGUACCUAAUCAGAAAGCCACGGCUAACUACGUG